UACCUGAGAAGUGAUUGAAUAGCCUCAUAUUAAUUCUACUUUCAUAUUAUAAUCAACAAACCAAAAACAGAAUGUAAGGGCUAUGCUUAAGAUACCAAUUAGCUUAUCAUCUACCAGACUAAUCAUUUUUAUAUUUUAGAAUGUUUAGUGUUUUUGAAUCAAUAUGGAAUGUAUGAAUAGUGGUGGUUUUCAUUCUUUUUUUUUUUUUUUUUGAGAUGGAGUUUUGUUCUUGUUGCUCAGGCUGGAGUGCAAUGGCAUGAUCUCGCUCUCUGCAACCUCUGCCUGCCACCACACCUGGGUACUUUUUUUGUAUUUUUAGUAGAGACGGGGUUUCACCACGUUGGCCAGGCUGGUCUCGAACUCAGGUGUUCUGCCUGCCUUGGCCUCUCGAAGUGCUGGGAUUACAGGCGUGAGCCACGGCGCUGAGCUGAGUUCUGAUGAAUUCUGAUAAACCUCCCUCUCCUAAUAUGAGAAGUGAGUGUGUAAUGGCACCUACUUCAUGAAGAUGGUGAGAGGAUUAAAUGAAAUAUGUGUACAGUCUUACCUAGUCAGCACACAAUAAAUGAUAGCUGUUUUCAGUUUACAGUUGUUUUGGUUUCCUAGGGCUGCCAUAACAAUGUGCUGCACACCAGGUGCUUAAACAACAGAUUUUUGUUUUCCUACCAUUCUGGAAGCCAGAAGUUCAAGAUCAAGGUUCCAGCAGGGUUGGUUUCUUCUGAGGCCUCUUUCCUUGGCUUUAGAUGGCUGUCUUCUUGCUUACCCUCAUGUGGUCUUUCUUUUAUGCAUUUUCUGAUACUUAAUCCCUCCCCUUAUAAGGACACCAGUGAUACCAGAUUAUGAUCCACUCUAAUGGCCUCCUUUUAACAUAAUUACCUCUUUCAUUCUGAGCUACCGACUCAGAAUGAAAUGUAUGAAUUUUGAGGGGAGGGGAACCCAUUUUGACCCAUAACAAUGGUCAACAAUAAAGUUUUGUAGAAUGGCAAAACAUGGCUAUGGAAAACUACUCAUCUCUUUAGCACUCAUUUUACAAAAGAUCAAGCUGAUAACCAAGAGGUAAAGUGUUUAGCCCAACUACACGGAUUAAUUUGUUCUGAACAAAGAAUUUAGGCCAUAAAAGCCUGAUCUCUUUUCAGAAAAAUUUAAAGCAUCAAAUACUUAAUAGUUACUUAAAUCAACAUUUUAGCUCGUAUUUUUCUGAAAAUCUAUUGAGAAUAUUUAUUUCUCCUCAACCUUAAAAGUCCUUUAAUUUUUUAUUAAAAGUUAAUUUGAUGAAAAUGUCUGCUUACCUUGAUUCUACCUAAUUUUUAUGUCCUAAUGAUCCAAUAUCUUGCAGGCCAUCUGGCCCUGAUGAUUUUUGUAAGUUCUCUGGUACAAAAAGUCACACAAUAUAGCUAAAAUAGUAUCGACUCAACGCUUGUUAGCUCUUCUGCAAAUAAGCUGUGUUAUUUAGGCAACUGUCUUCACCUUUGUUGGCCUCAGUCUGUUUACCUGCAUCUCAAUGUAGUUCUGCAAGGCUGAGUCUGUGUUUCUGGCCCUGCCUAUGCCGCUGAUGGGCCUGCCAGGAUUCUCUUCACUUGGUUUCUGCCCUUCAGUUCAGUUUCCUUAUCUGCGAAGUCAGCUUUAGGCUUUGUUCGUUUCAUGGUGUGUGUCUGGAUUCCAAUGGUGAUGACGGAUGUCCCCGAAAGUAAACUGGAUCAGACACAUAUGAAGGGCCAAGCACAUUGCAGACAUCAUCAUCCCUGCUCUCACAAUGCCCCUCUGACCUCAGGGUGUCUGCAGAGCCCACUGCGGCUCCCUUGAACUGAGACCAAGGAGGCGCCGCUCAUGACCCUUGCUUUGGAAACUUCCACUGUUUCUUUCCUCUCCCACCCCCUAACCAUGAAUCUGAUAAACGGUCCAUGGUCCUUUGAUAACAGGUGUUGGUGGUUAACAUCUGACUCUAGUCAGACGUCUGCAUUUUAACAGAGGCACUUAUGAGAAUG
rnacentral:lncRNA from 1 species